AUAAAAAGGGCAGAAAGGGAAGAGAAUGGGCACAAAGAAAUAGUUUCCUCAAGAAGGGAAAGCUUGCCUAAACAAAUGUAAUUUUCUCGUUUCCUUUCAUCUCAAAACUAACCCUUUUAGCUUCUUCCACCAUGAAACCCAAUCUAAUAACCGCCAAUUCUUUUCGAGUUUCCAAUUCCUUAACUCCUAGGAUUUCAAUUCCAUUUCCCAGACCUUCAAAUCCACUCUCCAAUCAUUUCCUUUCAACAACGUUUCACUCUUCCAAACCUUGUCGUUUCUUUCCUAUUUGAUUUUCAAAUCCCAAACAAUCCACUUUCAUUAAUGAAGCAUCGCCAGGUUCUACCGCCGAAUUGGGUGCCAUUUCAAAUGAAAGUCUAGGAGAAGAGGAAUUGGGGAGGAAUUUGAAUGUGCAAGUUGGAAAUUCAAUUGUUCCCUCGUAUUUUCAGUCGUCGACUAAGCUUAGUUUGAGUGACCAAGCUUUCUUUCUCCUAUCGUUUAUUGCUUGCACGUUUAACUGCCUGCAGACUUCUAUAGCAUUUACAAGCCUUGUCGUUGCCGCCAUCCCAACAGUCUACGUAAGUCAUAUGACACAUCAAACUAUAUUCAAGAUAUCUGAAAUUUCACACAAGAUGAAAUUGAUCUCAUUAUCAAGCUUCAUAGGCUCUUGGGCAACAGGUGGUCAUUGAUUGCCAGCAGACUUCCAGGAAGAACAGCAAAUGAUGUAAAGAAUUACUGGAAUUGCCACAUAAGCAAAAGACUAAAUGCUAAAGAAACCAAACAGAAGCAAAUUGCAAGAAACCCACCUCAGCCUGAAAAUCCUGCAACAAGCCCAAGAAGCCCAGAAGGCCCAAGUUACUUGCAACCACAACAUGUAGAACCCAGUAGAUGUAGCCCAUUAGCAGCAAUCCAUGUGACUGAAGACGGACAGGGCCCACGUGUGAUUCAAGAGAAGGAGAAUUGCUAUUCUGGAUUUGAAGAUCGUGGGUUUUUUGCUGACUUGGAGUUGGAGUUUGGGAAUUUUUUUGAAGAUAAUAAGGUGGCAUUUGGUAAUGAUCAUUUCAGCAGCAAAAAUGAGUGGGAUGACUUGAUCUCCGACC